rnacentral:rRNA from 1 species
AGCAAAACGAAGACUCGCUGCUUCUUCCCCAUUUCCCUCACCUCUGCGCGCCGAACCCCGAUUCCCUCACCUCGUCGCCGCCGGAGCGGAGCGGUUCCCAGACCUGGAAUUUCGCUGUGGACAUUUUCACCCUUGAAAGAAGUCAGCUAGUGAAAAUCCAUAGUACCAUGGCAGAGGGGGUUGUCGGCAUGCUGAUUCUGAAGCUUGGUUCAGCCUAGGCCAUAGAAGCAAUCAAGGUUGGUACAGGGAAGCUAUGCCGUCAAGCUAAAGCUUCUUCUGUUGUCAGGCUGUUUGGUCAGAUCCGUGAUAUCAAGGAGGAUCUGGAGAGCAUGCAGUCGUUUCUACAAGAAGCCGAGAGGUUCAAGGAUACUGAAAAUACCACUGCUAGCUUCAUCAACAAGAUCCGAGGCCUUGCGUUCGAGAUCGAGGAUGUUGUUGACGAGUUCACCUACAAGUUAGAGGAUAAACAUGGUGGCUUUUCUGUGAAGAUCAAGCGGCGGUUUAAGAGAAUCAGUACCUGGCGCCGUCUGUCACUGCAAUUGAGAGACAUCAAACUGAAAUUAGAGAAUGUUGAUAGGAGAAAGGCCCGGUAUGACAUGAGAGGAAUUGCAAUAGAAGCUAGAAACAGUGAUGCUCAUUGCAGAUCUACAGAUCAGACUUCAUACUUCCCAAUAGAAGAAAAUCUUGUCGGCAUUGAUGAGAGUAAGAAUCUGCUGAUUAAUUGGUUGACAAGUGAUUUCCAACAGGAGAAUGUAAUUAGCACAGUAUGGGGGAUGGGAGGAGUAGGCAAGACCACUUUGGUUGCCCAUGUUUACAACACUCUGAAGAUAGACUUCGACUGUGCUGCAUGGAUAACUGUAUCAAAAUCAUACCAGGUUCAGGACUUGUUAAAGCAGAUUAUCAGGGAGUUACAGAAGAGCGACUUGAAGGGUGAACUUCGCGUUGAUAUUGUUGACAUGGAAAAGAGAAGCCUAGUUGAGAUCAUCCGUGAUUUCUUGCGUGGCAAGAAGUAUCUUCUGGUUCUAGAUGAUGUCUGGGGUAUUGACAUCUGGUUCAAGAUAAGAGAUGCUUUCCCUACUAACAGCACCAGUCGGUUUGUAAUCACGUCAAGAAUCCAUGAUGUAGCGUUGCUGGCUACUGGAAAUUGCAUGGUUGAAUUGAAACCACUAGAAGCGCACCACUCAUGGGAAUUGUUCUGUAAAGAGGCGUUUUGGAAAAAUGAAAACAGAAUAUGUCCGGAGGAGCUACAGUUUUUGGCACAAAGAUUUGUGGACAAGUGUAAUGGCUUGCCCAUUGCUAUUGCAUGCAUAGGUCGUUUACUGUCCUGCAAAAGCCAAACUCAUUCUGAAUGGGAAAAAUUGUACAAGGAAUUAGAAGUGCAGUUGACAAACAAUGCAAUUUUUGAUGUUAACAUAGUUCUAAUGGUCAGUUUGGGGGAUCUUCCAUAUAUUUUGAAGAACUGCUUUCUUCAUUGUAUUGUAUUUCCAGAGGAUUAUUUGAUCAAAAGGAAAAGACUGAUUAGGCAUUGGGUGACAGCAGGAUUCAUCAGGGAAACAGAGCACAAAACAAUGGAGGAAGUGGCAGAGGGCUAUUUGUACGAACUUGUAAAUCGAAGCCUAUUGCAGGUAGUGGAGAGGAAUGAAAGUGGACGUGUGCGGAGUUGCCGAAUGCAUGAUAUCAUUCGCCUUCUUGCUCUGGCUAAAUCAAAUGAGGAGAGGUUCUGUAGAGUUCAUGAUGGCCCAGGAAGUUCUUCAGCAGAAAAUACACGCCGCCUAUCAAUCCAAAGCGCCAAUAUUGAGCAGUUGACUCUUUCAAGUGAAGUUCAGCUCCGUUCAAUCUAUGUUUUUGACAAUGGUCUGACAAUUGAUUCACUGGAGUCUUUGUUGAAAUCUUUUAAGUUGCUAUCAACUUUAGAUCUACAAGGUUCCAAAAUUAGGAGGCUACCGAAUGAGAUUUUCAACAUGUUUAAUCUGCGGUUUCUGGGUCUUAGAGAUACCGAGGUUGAGGAUAUUCCGAGAACAGUUGGAAGACUACAGAAAUUGGAAGUUUUGGAUGCUUACAAUGCUAAGCUGUUGAGUUUACCAGAGAGUGUGGCGACACUCAGGAAGUUGAGAUAUCUAUAUGUAGCUACUGAUCCAAAGACAAAUAUUAAAGGAGUUGUUGCCUGGACUGGAAUCCAGGUGCCUAACGGCAUAAGGCACUUGACAGACUUGCAAGCCUUGCAACUUGUUGAGGCAAGUUCAGAGACUUUGUGUCAUCUUGGUGCUUUGACAGAGUUGAGAACUUUGUCCAUCACCAAAGUGCAGAGAGAACAGUGUGCUGAUUUGUGCAAUGCUAUCAUGAAUAUGACCCAUCUUGUUAGUCUGGCAAUUAUGGCUAUAAAUGAGAAAGAAACACUGGAACUGGAAGAGCUCUGCUUACCCCCUACGCUCUCGAAGCUUGAAAUAGGAGGGCAACUAGAUAGGAAACGGAUGCCUCAGAUUGUCUCGUCCUUCUCAGACCAUGAAAACAUUACCUUGUUGGCCUUAGCCUUCUCCAAACUUGAUGAAGACUCAUUUUCAUGCCUGCUGGUGUUACAUGGUCUACGUGCACUUUGGCUUGAUAAGGCCUAUGAAGGGAAGAGGCUGCACUUCAAUGCCAUGGCAUUUCCAAAACUGCGACUGCUAUCAAUCUCAGAUGCACCGCAGCUCAAUGAUGUUGUGGUAGAAGAAAGUGCAUUGCAAAGCCUUCUUCACCUAUCUCUCACAGAUUGUCCAGAGCUAAAGGCCCUCCCUGAUGGCAUUGAGCAUCUUAGAACACUAGAGAAAUUAUAUCUGCGAGGAGUUUCCAAAGAUCUCACAAAGAAGCUUCAGAACAAAGAAAAAACAAAUGAAUGCAAUGAUUAUCUUAAGAAGAUCAAUCACGUCCGAAGGGUAACUGUUUAUCCAUGAAGCACUUGGGAUAUGAUCCAGUGUUCCAGCAUAUAUCGUCAACUCAAGUACCUCUGAGCUCUCGCUCAAACUGAAUAGUUCGGAGAAAAAAAGGAGGCUUUAUAGAAGAGAAGUGGCAAGGAAAUGUCGAAAAGCAUCUGUGUAGACUGUACAGAACCUGAGUUAGGAACAAGAGGAGAGCCUUACUCGGUUUUGUUGGUCGAGAUGUUGAAAAUGCACAUCACAUCGAAAUGGACACCUCAGGAGGAACCAGAGAGGGAACCAUAAAUGCUCUCAAUGCAGCAAAAGUUUCAGCAAUGAAAGCUGCUGAAAUAGACACCGAGGAGGGUCCGGCGGUAGUCAAGAAACAGGAGGAGCUCGACGCCGACCUGGAGAAACUCUAUGUAGCAGACAGAGACUCUCGGCCUACAAGGAACUCACUCUGUUUGCGAGUGUCGCGUCGCUGGCGAUAUCAAGUGCCUGGGAUGUACACGCUUCACUGGCUUGUUUGUCCCUGCAUGUGGGAAUUGGACUCUCAGUUUUGCAUCUUGGCCUUGAUGAAAACUGAUGAUAAACGACCUCAUGUGCUAGCAACAGAAGGUACCUGGGCAUUCUCAGAAAUCAGCAUCCGCUGUAGCACCGCGGUAUGAAUGGGGAGGUUCCAGCGGAAAGAAAGUGUAUGCGCUAGCAGCAGUGAGCUCCUUGUCUGAUUCACAACUCUUUUGGCUGCUUGCUGCUAGUAGUAGGGGCACGUAUGAGGUGCAAAAAUUUGGCAUCAGCAUAUUGGACUGCUAAGGAAAACCUAAAAUUACAGCUGCAAAUCUGAUUGGGGAUGGGGCAAAUGCACCGAAAAAUAUUUGUUACUAGAAGCUUGAUUGUUUCUUCACAAAGUGAAGCACGGUCGUCAUAAAGUACACAUGCAACAGUGUAGGUAUUAGAAUCAAGACGAAGAAAUGAACAAUUGGACAGCUUGUUGUUUGUUCUUUGUAUAAAGCUUUGAACAAUUGGACAGCUUGUUGUUUGUUCUUUGUAGCAAGCAGAGAAAUGAUCUACUCCCUCUGUUCGCUUUUGUAAGACGUUUAAGACAACUGAAAUUGAACUGUUUAAGGUGUUUGCCCACAUUCAAACUCCUAAAAGGCUCUCCAAGCAGCUGUGAAUGUGCAUAUAUGUGAACC